CCCCUCUCUUUCCCAGUCCCCCUCUCUGGCCCACUCCCCCUCUGUUGCCCAAACAGCCUCUCCGCCCCCCUCCCCCUCUCAAUCAGACCCACCCUCUGAAAAAAGCACCCCAAUCCCUCCUCCUUCCCCAAUUCCUCCUCCUUCCCCAAUCCAGCCUCCUUCCCCAAUCCAGCCUCCUUCCCCAAUCCACCGUCCUACCCCCAUCCAGCCUCCUUCCCCCAUCCAGCCCCCUUCCCCACCCAGUGAGUGGGCAGCAGAAGCCCCUGCGGAGAUUCCGGGGAGUCCGCAUGUGGCAGAUGAGAAUGGUGCCGUUGGAGAUCCCACAAGCCUGGCAGGCAUCGUGGCCAGCCUAAAGGCCCAUUUGCAGGCCAUGCUGGCAGACCUAGAAAGGCUGCAAAAUUUCUGUUAAUUUACAUUUGUUUGAUUUUUGAUAUAUUAAAAACAAAAACAAAAUGAAUAAAAUAAUAAAAAAAUAGUUUUUACAGUUAA